rnacentral:rRNA from 1 species
UACGUAGGGAGCAAGCGUUGUCCGGAAUCAUUGGGCGUAAAGCGCGCGUAGGCGGCCUCAUAAGUCCGUUGUGAAAGUCAAAGGCUCAACCUUUGAAAGCCGAUGGAUACUGUGAGGCUAGAGUCCGGAAGAGGCGAGUGGAAUUCCUGGUGUAGCGGUGAAAUGCGCAGAUAUCAGGAAGAACACCUAUGGCGAAGGCAGCUCUCUGGGACGGUACUGACGCUGAGACGCGAAAGCGUGGGGAGCGAACAGG